UACGGAGGGUGCAAGCGUUGUCCGGAAUCACUGGGCGUAAAGGGCGCGUAGGCGGCUCAUGAAGGCUGUGGUGAAAGUUCGGGGCUCAACCCUGAAUCGGCCGUCGAUACUCCCGGGCUUGAGCACUGUAGAGGCAGAUGGAAUUCCGGGUGUAGCGGUGGAAUGCGUAGAGAUCCGGAAGAACACCGGUGGCGAAGGCGGUCUGCUGGGCAGUAGCUGACACUGAGGCGCGACAGCGUGGGGAGCAAACAGG
rnacentral:rRNA from 1 species